rnacentral:rRNA from 1 species
GAAGAAGGUCUUCGGAUCGUAAAACCCUGUUGUUAGAGAAGAAAGUGCGUGAGAGUAACUGUUCACGUUUCGACGGUAUCUAACCAGAAAGCCACGGCUAACUACGUGCC